CAGUCGCCACGGUAAUACGUAGGUGGCAAGCGUUGUCCGGAGUUAUUGGGCGUAAAGGGCUCGCAGGCGGUUUCUUAAGUCUGAUGUGAAAGCCCCCGGCUCAACCGGGGAGGGUCAUUGGAAACUGGGAAACUUGAGUGCAGAAGAGGAGAGUGGAAUUCCACGUGUAGCGGUGAAAUGCGUAGAGAUGUGGGGGAACACCAGUGGCGAAGGCGACUCUCUGGUCUGUAACUGACGCUGAGGAGCGAAAGCGUGGGGAGCGAACAGGAUUAGAUACCCCAGUAGUCCCUGUCUCUUAUAC
rnacentral:rRNA from 1 species